rnacentral:rRNA from 1 species
UACGAAGGGGGCUAGCGUUGUUCGGAAUCACUGGGCGUAAAGGGCGCGUAGGCGGCUGUUCAAGUCGGGGGUGAAAUCCCGUGGCUCAACCACGGAAUGGCCUUCGAUACUGGACGGCUGGAGACCGGAAGAGGUGAGUGGAACUGCGAGUGUAGAGGUGAAAUUCGUAGAUAUUCGCAAGAACACCAGUGGCGAAGGCGGCUCACUGGUCCGGUUCUGACGCUGAGGCGCGAAGGCUAGGGGAGCGAACGGG